CCGCGAUGACCGUUGAACAAAAAAACGAGAAAAGUAGAAAACGUCGUGAAGCAAGCCAACGAAAUAAAGGACCUCCUAUACAAACAGAGGGAUCUACAGUUAGUCUUUCAGAUGGCUGUAGCACAAUUGAUUUCACAAACUUUGCAACACAAGUUCCAAAUGUGAAUCGAGAUGAUGAUAGCGAUUGGUUGCAUAGGAAUGAGACAUUCAAGUCAGACGAUGUUUUCACAACAAGAGACCUUCUGACA